GGAGGGGUAGUUGAGUCUGGGAAGAACGCUUGUCACAUGGACAUGAGAGCGUGGGUUCAAAUUCCAUCCCCUCCG
rnacentral:tRNA from 1 species